GAGUUUGAUCGUGGCUCAGAUUGAACGCUGGCGGCAUGCCUUACACAUGCAAGUCGAACGGCAGCACGGGAGCUUGCUCCUGGUGGCGAGUGGCGAACGGGUGAGUAAUGCAUCGGAACGUAUCCUGGAGUGGGGGAUAACGUAGCGAAAGUUACGCUAAUACUGCAUAUUCUGUGAGCAGGAAAGCGGGGGACCUUCGGGCCUCGCGCUCUUGGAGCGGCCGAUGUCGGAUUAGCUAGUUGGUGAGGUAAAGGCUCACCAAGGCGACGAUCCGUAGCAGGUCUGAGAGGAUGAUCUGCCACACUGGAACUGAGACACGGUCCAGACUCCUACGGGAGGCAGCAGUGGGGAAUUUUGGACAAUGGGGGCAACCCUGAUCCAGCCAUGCCGCGUGAGUGAAGAAGGCCU
rnacentral:rRNA from 1 species